AUUGACCGCUGGCGGCAGGCCUAACACAUGCAAGUCGAGCGGAGCGGCGGACGGGUGAGUAAUGCCUAGGAAUCUGCCUGGUAGUGGGGGAUAACGUCCGGAAACGGGCGCUAAUACCGCAUACUAUCAGAUGAGCCUAGGUCGGAUUAGCUAGGUGGUGGGGUAAAGGCCUACCAAGGCGAAGAUCCGUAACUGGUCUGAGAGGAUGAUCAGUCACACUGGAACUGAGAAAGGGGCCAGACUCCGAAGGGAGGCAGCAGUGGGGAAUAGUGGACAAGGGGCGAAAGCCUGAUCCAGCCAUGCCGCGUGUGUGAAGAAGGUCGUCGGAUUGUAAAGCACUUUAAGUGGGGAGGUGUUACCAACAGAAUAAGCACCGGCUAACUUCGUGCCAGCCACCGCGGUAAUAC
rnacentral:rRNA from 1 species